rnacentral:misc_RNA from 1 species
GUGUUCUUCAUCGUCUAUUUGUGUGACGGAUCGAUCUUUGUGUUAAUGGUGGCACUGGUUGCUUUGUUUUCGCUCCUUGGAACCGGCGAUUUGAUAUGCGAGUGGUGAAGGAUAAUAUCUGGGGAUUUGAAGUUUUCAGUUGUACGAAUUCGCGCGUAAGAGGUGCCGAUUAAUUUGAUUUGAUGAGGAAGAAAAGGAAAGGAAGUGAG